rnacentral:rRNA from 1 species
CGUAAGGCGCCGAAUGAGUCAUUAAAAAAUUAACAUCAUCCGAUCCCUAGUCGGCAUAGUUUAUGGUUAAGACUACGACGGUAUCUGAUCGUCUUCGAUCCCCUAACUUUCGUUCUUGAUUAAUGAAAACAUCCUUGGCAAAUGCUUUCGCAGUAGUUAGUCUUCAAUAAAUCCAAGAAUUUCACCUCUGACAAUUGAAUACUAAUGCCCCCAACUAUCCCUAUUAAUCAUUACGUCGAUCCUAAGAAACCAACAAAAUAGAAUACAAACGUCCUAUUUCAUUAUUCCAUGCUAAUGUAUUCAAG